UACGAAGGGUGCAAGCGUUACUCGGAAUUACUGGGCGUAAAGCGUGCGUAGGUGGUUUGUUAAGUCUGAUGUGAAAGCCCUGGGCUCAACCUGGGAAUUGCAUUGGAUACUGGCAGGCUAGAGUGCGGUAGAGGAUGGCGGAAUUCCCGGUGUAGCAGUGAAAUGCGUAGAGAUCGGGAGGAACAUCUGUGGCGAAGGCGGCCAUCUGGACCAGCACUGACACUGAGGAGCGAAAGCGUGGGGAGCAAACAGG
rnacentral:rRNA from 1 species